GAUGAACGCUGGCGGCGUGCCUAAUACAUGCAAGUCGAGCGAACGGACGAGAAGCUUGCUUCUCUGAUGUUAGCGGCGGACGGGUGAGUAACACGUGGAUAACCUACCUAUAAGACUGGGAUAACUUCGGGAAACCGUAGCUAAUACCGGAUAAUAUUUUGAACCGCAUGGUUCAAAAGUGAAAGACGGUCUUGCUGUCACUUAUAGAUGGAUCCGCGCUGCAUUAGCUAGUUGGUAAGGUAACGGCUUACCAAGGCAACGAUGCAUAGCCGACCUGAGAGGGUGAUCGGCCACCCUGGAACUGAGACACGGUCCAGACUCCUACGGGAGGCAGCAGUAGGGAAUCUUCCGCAAUGGGCGAAAGCCUGACGGAGCAACGCCGCGUGAGUGAUGAAGGUCUUCGGAUCGUAAUACUCUGUUAUUAGGGAAGAACAUAUGUGUAAGUAACUGUGCACAUCUUGACGGUACCUAAUCAGAAAGCCACGGCUAACUACGUG
rnacentral:rRNA from 1 species